UGUAAGCGUAUACCAAAGUUGUUGCAGUUAAAACGCUCGUAGUCGGAAUUUGGCAGUUCCGGAUGUGUGCACGUCGUGUGCGCACUUCGCGGGGAUUGCUUUUGUGGUCUUGCGUAGGAUGAGGUACUUUUAUUAGUGAACGUCCUCACGCGACCACUUUUUACUGUGAGAAAAUCAGAGUGCUCAAAGCAGGCAUUUGCCGUGAAUGUAUUAGCAUGGAAUAAUAGAAUAGGACUUGGUUCUAUUUUGUUGGUUUGUUGGGACUGAGUAAUGAUUAAGAGGGACAGUUGGGGGCAUUUGUAUUUCGGUGCUAGAGGUGAAAUUCUUAGAUUACCGAAAGACAAACUGCUGCGAAAGCGUCUGCCAAGGAUGUUUUCAUUGA
rnacentral:rRNA from 1 species